rnacentral:rRNA from 1 species
GAUGAACGCUGGCGGCGUGCCUAAUACAUGCAAGUCGAGCGAAUGGAUUAAGAGCUUGCUCUUAUGAAGUUAGCGGCGGACGGGUGAGUAACACGUGGGUAACCUGCCCAUAAGACUGGGAUAACUCCGGGAAACCGGGGCUAAUACCGGAUAACAUUUUGAACCGCAUGGUUCGAAAUUGAAAGGCGGCUUCGGCUGUCACUUAUGGAUGGACCCGCGUCGCAUUAGCUAGUUGGUGAGGUAACGGCUCACCAAGGCAACGAUGCGUAGCCGACCUGGGAGGGUGAGCGGCACCACUGGGACUGAGACACGGCCCAGACUCCUACGGGAGGCAGCAGUAGGGAAUCUUCCGCAAUGGACGAAAGUCUGACGGAGCAACGCCGCGUGAGUGAUGAAGGCUUUCGGGUCGUAAAACUCUGUUGUUAGGGAAGAACAAGUGCUAGUUGAAUAAGCUGGCACCUUGACGGUACCUAACCAGAAAGCCACGGCUAACUACGUGCCAGCCGCCGCUGUAA